CCUACGGGAGGCAGCAGUGGGGAAUUUUGGACAAUGGGCGCAAGCCUGAUCCAGCCAUGCCGCGUGAGUGAAGAAGGCCUUCGGGUUGUAAAGCUCUUUUGUCCGGGAAGAAAACGCUUCGGUUAAUACCCGGUUGUUCUGACGGUACCGGAAGAAUAAGCACCGGCUAACUACGUGCCAGCAGCCGCGGUAAUAA
rnacentral:rRNA from 1 species